CCCCUCCCAUGGUCGCACCUAGAGAGUUUCCAGGCCUCUACCAGUCUCGAAUAUGGGAAGGAAAGUCAAGCAGAGGCUUGUCCAUUCCAUUCCUAGCUUGGGCAGUGGCUAGCGAGGGGAAGGCCAUCUGCUACAAGG